CAGCCGCCACGGGAAUACCGAGGGUGCAAGCGUUAAUCGGAAUUACUGGGCGUAAAGCGCGCGUAGGUGGUUUGUUAAGUCGGAUGUGAAAUCCCCGGGCUCAACCUGGGAACUGCAUCCGAAACUGGCAAGCUAGAGUAUGGUAGAGGGUAGUGGAAUUUCCUGUGUAGCGGUGAAAUGCGUAGAUAUAGGAAGGAACACCAGUGGCGAAGGCGACUACCUGGACUGAUACUGACACUGAGGUGCGAAAGCGUGGGGAGCAAACAGGAUUAGAUACCCCCGUAGUCCCUGUCUCUUAUAC
rnacentral:rRNA from 1 species